AGUAGGCCUGAGUCGGUGAAAAGCUUCUGGGGGGCGGGACAGAAUGGGGGUAUUGGGCAGAGGACGGGGUUGCUAGCCAGUUGCACUUUGGCCCGGCCCGGGCCCUAGUUGCUGACCACAAGUCUUCCUUCUACCCUCAGGUGAAGACUCUGCUAUAAAUCUUUCGUUAGGAAGCUGCUGCUUGAGAGGCUUUGUCUCUCUGUGACUGGGGCGAGACAUCUUCUACCCGAAGUCUCCUCUGAUUAGGAAGGCUCCAGGAGAGGUGGAGUAGAUCUCUCCAUUGAAAGCUGGGGCCAGCCGAGGUGGGCAGUCCUCCCUCCCCCAAAAGCCCCCAGGAGUCCUCAUUCCAAAGGAAGAGUCUGGCUGCCCUGGGGGCUGAUUUCCACCUUCAGUUCUCCUCACUCCUGCUGCCUCUCCUCCUCCACCUUUCCUGAGAGAUCUAUCGCCUCCUGCAAGAGUUCAGUGAAUCCGUUUGGGGGCUGUCUAAAAGAACCACUCACGGCUCCGAAAAGGAGGGGCUGUAGCCCUUUAAGGACCUCGCCGGGAUGGAUUCAGAGAUGAGUUUAAAAAUGCCAACUCACAGAGCGCGCUGGAUUCUGGGAACGAGGUGUCAGACCGAGAACUACACUGACCAGUAUGCACUGCAAACACACACGCCUUUACUUCCUUCUGCUUUUUAGGACUCGGGUUUGACGUAGCGCCCCUCUAAGCAUGUUAGCCUAGGCGGAGGGCUGAGCCACACCUUUUCACCUAUUGGCCAGCUCGCAACUUGGUGGGCGUGGCCUAGCGCUACUCUACUAGGCAAAGGGGUGGCUUCCUUGCCAGUCAGAGCUAAGACGGUCGGGGAGGCGGGACCAGGGCUAAGCGCUGGCGCCCUCGAGUGGGUGUGGUCACGCUGCCCAGCAGUGGGCGGUGAUUGGCCCUGGGCGGUGCAAUCGCAGCUUGUGCGUCACGACGCCGCCAGCUGAUCGCAGACUGUAGCCGGUGUGUGCUGGGCGCUGGGAAGAGACAGCGCCGCCGGCCGUGGGGAUCGGACGCACUGAUUUGCUCCCCUACCCUCAGCACCCCCCCCACCCAGCACCAGGUGGGUGUGAGAUGGGGUCCCGGCCGCACAGGAGGGAACCAUGCUAACGGGGUAAUGGGGGAAAGUAGGGUCCUGACGGCCACACCCUGCCCUUCCGGGGGAGGGGAGAGGGGGCGGCGGAGGCUCGGGCGCUCCGGGGGAGAGGGGCCUGGACUGGCUGGAGUAGUGUGUCAGGAGGUUUAAAGAAGGAGUCCGGGACAGUAGUCGUGCGGAGGGUUUUGCGGAGUAGCUGGGAGAAAGACGAGGGGCCGGAGCGCUGGGGGCGGCUAACCUCGGCGCCCUCUGGUCGAGGAUACGGGAGCCGGCCUCCCAGCUUGGGGAGGAUUUGGACUGGGCGGGUAGCGGGGAGGUGCUUUGCCUCUACCGGCACUCAUUGGGUCAGGGCCAGUUGAGCGCCCUGGCAGGGAAGGGGUCUCUGGGCGGGCCGGCCCCUCCUCUCGUUCCCUCCAGGGGAUGUUAUGUAAGGGGGGAGGGGAGAGGAGUAGGGGGCGGCGGUGCGGGGGGGGCCUUAUGCAACCCAAAGGUUAGGGUUUCACCGCGGGUUGGUGGGGGGAGAAGGCAGGAGGAGAGCCUGGAAACUCUAACCCCCCCCUCCCCAGCCUAACUGGCCGUCUUGGGCCGAGAGAAGGUCACCUCUGCACCUCCCCCCAGCCUGUCCGGUUGUGGGGCCCCUAGCCCAGGCCUGGCCCUGACCGCCUGGGAAGCCGGCUGGCUGGGUGGGGCGCCUGGGUUAGUCAUCACUGGGCUCCCUCUCUCCCCACCUCUCGGCCAACUCUUGGCCCCUCCCCGUGGCCUCUGGCUAGGCUAUUGCCCCCACCUCCCUUCGGCUGUAGUUCCAGCCUCCAACUCAUUUGGCCUGUCAUCCUGGCUGUUAGACUGGGCUAGGAGCUGUCAGGGGGCCAAAGGGCUGAUGGAGCAGCUGGUCAGAGGGUCAGUGCCCUGGGCCCACCCCGCCCUGCAGCCAAGGGCACCUGCUUGGCACAGACUCUCAGCAGCAACUGAGUCCUAUGGGCUGAACAGAGCCUGCUCAGACAGAGAGGAGUGGGAAGGAGUUGGACUGGUCACCUGGGAGAAGGAAGAUACCACAAAGUUCAUGCCUCCCAAGAGGGUUUUGUAAUUUGAAAACCUCCCACCCUAAUCUUUCUUACCCUCGGAGUAUAGAAAUCUCAAGGCAGGACCGCCUUGGCUCCUUAAACUGGCAUGGGCCAUGCCCUCGGACUAAGUGUCAGCACAGACCCACCCUCCCGAGCUCACAGCCCUCAAAGCCUGCCACACCCCCAGCCCCCUCCCUGGGCCAUGCUGCAGGGCCCGGCUUUUCCUGCUGAUUCAUGCGUUGGAACUGUGGGGGCGGGGCUUGGAACUUGGAACAAAGUUCAGUCAUGGAGGGGACGGCAGACAGCCUGGAAUUCAUACCAGAUGUACCCGGAACGUGCAAGCGGAAUGCCUGGCAUUUAAGAGUCCUGGGGAAGCUGCCCAACCACCCUGCCCUACCUCCCUCCCCUCCAGCCUCUGGUCCCCUGUCCUUUCCUCACAGUCCCAGGAGCCUCUGCUGACCUUCUUCCAAACUCUAGACCUCCUCCCUUCCUCACUCUUCCCCAGAUGUAAGCCCCCCAAAACUCUUCUUCCAGCUGAACUCCCUGGGACCAAGUCAGUUGGGCUGAUCCCUGAACUCGCAUUUCUGGAUCUGAGGCACCUGUACCUCCCACAUCCUCACCUGGCUGAGCCGCAGUAGUUCUUCAGUGGCAAGCUUUAUGUCCUGACCCAGCUAAAGCUGCCAGUUGAAGAACUGUUGCCCUCUGCCCCUGGCUUCGAGGAGGAGGAGGAAGAAGAGAAGGAGCUGCCUUCCCCUCAUCUGGAAGGUGACAGAACUGGGUCUGGGAAGGUCUGAACAGCGAGCGUGAUGAUACCUUUGGGAAAGGGAACCCUAUUCAGCUGGAGAACCUUCACCCAGAUUGAGCCAGCAGGAGAGAAAAUUUCAGAUUAGAGACCUUGGCUGAAUUGGGGAAUAGAUGGCUCUGACUACACCCAAGGUUAGUUGGUCUCUGUGUGACAAUGGGAAGAAGUGGAGCAAAGAAAACCCUGCCCACCCCUUUACCUAGAUGUCUUUCCUGACCCUCCUUCCUUCCUCGUCCCUCCUCCUUUCCUACUGGCCUUUCCAAGUUCAAAAGUAAGUUUCCUCUUCAGGGAAAAGGUCAUACUGAGACUCCCAUCUAAGUAGUCAUCCCCCUGCUCUUAAUUUUUCCCCGUAUUUCCUUAGUCUGGCCCAGACUCUAGAUUCAGGGAUACUUACCUCUAUGUGAGACCCUUAGACCGCCUGUCUCAUCUUCCCCCUUCUCAUCUGUGAGGUGGGGAAUCACACAGUUGAGCAUGCGUGAGGGAAUCAGAAGCCCACUUGUGUGGACUCAGAGCCUGGGCUCUCCUCCACAGUGGGUGGGAACAAAACAGCUUUUCACAUAAGCUGUUGCCCUUCCCCCAUCCCUGACCAGAACCCCAGGAGCUGGGGGUGGAGGUUGGAGGGAGGGACUAGGGUUAGACCAAUGCAAGGGGCUGCUGGGAAAUCAGUCUCUGCAUUGACUUCCCACCAAUCAAAGGUGGCCCAGGCUUCCCCUGCCUCCCAAAGCAGGGCUGCAGCCCCUGAUGGGUUCCAGCUGCCACUGCUCUCUUCCCCCACUCACUUUUCCAGGAUAGUGUGUGAGAUUUAGCUCAGGCCUGUGCACGCUGGAAAUUCUCCCCUCCAGCAACCAGGAGAGAUAGGUUAUGGCAUGUAAUCCCUUUAGGGGCAUCAGGCAGAGUAAACUUGCCGCCCCCAGCUCCUGAUCUAAUGUCACUCUAAGGCUCAGGCUCUGGUGUGGUUCAGCCUUGGCCCAGUCUCCCUGUCUGAAGGUGACCAAGUUCAGGGGUUACAGGAAGCUGUUUGUUCCGUGUGGGGGCAGAAGUUGUGCAGGGAGCUGGGUCCUAUUCUCCAUUUAUGAGAAACAGAUUUAGGGCAGAGUAGAUCACUGAACCCACCCUUCUGCAGCCUAAGCUGGAUGUGUGUGGGACUGCGGUAGAGGGGGGUGGGUAGACUGAGUCCACUCAUAGGUUGCCACAAGGGUCGCUCUGUCCCUAGACAUUGCUUCCAUCCUUUCUGCCCCUCCUCGCUUCACUGGUCACAGUGUCUCCCUCCAGCCUUGGGUAUGUGGCUCUGCCAUCCUCACCCAUCAUGGAGCAGAAAUGAGGAAGAGCAGCCUGGGAACACAGAGGCAGGCAGAAGACUAGUGAAGGACCAGGCCUGGAGAGCACAGGGCCCUGUCUGGACAUCUGCUGAGGGGGGCCCAUAGAGGCCAGGAGAGCCCCAGGAGGAGGGAGAACGGCCAGCCUCCAUCGAGGACAAGCUUCCAGCCAUCUACUUCAUUCUCCGUUGCUCUCCAGUCGUUCUGCCUCCCUCAGAGAUGUGGGACCAUGUUAAAGCGUCCUUGGCUUCAUCCUGCUGCUUCCACCUCUCCCCACCAUGUAAUUUAGCUGUGAAAGGACAUAUGCAGAAAAUUCUUAAAAGAAAUUCAAAUGGAUUUGAAUGUGUGGGAAAAAAUGUGUGCUUCAUUAGUAAUUAAAGAGAGGCAAAUAUAGCUGAAAGCAUUUUUCCCGUAGCAAACUAUAACAGAAAAAAAUAAGACCCAGUUAUUGGCAAAGGAGUACUAAAAUAACACUCUGUACAUUGCAUAUGGGCGUACAAAUUGGUACAGCCUUACUGAUGUCAGUUUGGUAAUAUGUAUCAAACAUCCUAAAAGUUUCCAUGGCCUUUGACCUAGUAAUUCUACAUUUGGGAAUUUAUCCUAAGGAAAUAAGUAAAGAUUAGUUUAAAUGAUGUUCAUCCCAGCAUUGCAGUAGAGAAAAAUGAGAAGCAACUAUCUGGUUGGGAAUUGAUUUCUUUUCUGCUAUAAUUGAAAUUUGCAAGAGGGGGUUGCUUAAGUAAAUUAUUGUAUAUCCAUCCGGAUGGUGGGGUGGAGUGCUGUGCAGCCAUUAAAAGUCACAUAGAAGAACAUUUGACUGGAAAGAAAAAUGCUCCUUGAACAUUAAAAAGGUUAUAAAAAUGGUG